rnacentral:rRNA from 1 species
UACGUAGGGGGCAAGCGUUGUCCGGAAUCAUUGGGCGUAAAGAGCGUGUAGGCGGCUUGGUCAGUCCGCUGUGAAAGUCCAGGGCUCAACCCUGGAAUGCCGGUGGAAACUGUCAAGCUUGAGUCCGGAAGAGGCGAGUGGAAUUCCUGGUGUAGCGGUGAAAUGCGCAGAUAUCGGGAAGAACACCCGUGGCGAAGGCGGCACUCUGGGACGGUACUGACGCUGAGACGCGAAAGCGUGGGGAGCGAACAGG